UUAUCAAGGGGUGCUCACAAUUGUGGGCUGAGAUGAUACCCUCGGAACCUGAUACGGACAAUGCCGGCGCAGGGAUGAUGAGUA
rnacentral:ncRNA from 1 species